CCUGGAGGAUUCCAUGGACAGAGAAGCCUGGCAGGAUACAGUCCAUGGGAUCACCGAGUCAGACAUGACUUAGCAACUGAACAAUAAGAAAAAACCUAAGCAGCAGAGCUGGGAUUCAGGUCCAGGCACUGGAGCUCAUCACCAUUUCAGAGUACUGUAGUUUGGUUACAUUGUUUCCCAUCUUGAAGGUCUUGGCUUCUUCCAGAUUGCCUGCUAAUGUUGUAGUUGUCCAGCCAAGAGUCCAAAGAGCCAGAAAACAGGGAGAGACACCAGUGGUUUAUCCGAUGGGGAAUCUUACAGGGCUGAAACCAAAGGGCCCAGCAACAACACUGAUGGCUGACGCUAUUGAGGGGGAGGAGUCUACCAUUGAUAGGGGGAAUUGACUUCCAAUU
ensembl:lncRNA